GACAGAGGCCUCAAGCGUUAGGCGGAAUCACUGGGCUUAAAGCGUGCGCAGGCGGUUUUGUAAGCCAGAUGUGAAAUCCCCCGGCUUAACCUGGGAACUGCGUCUGAUACUGGGAGGCUUGAGUAUGGGAGAGGGAUGUAGAAUUCCAGGUGUAGCGGUGAAAUGCGUAGAUAUCUGGAGGAAUACCGGUGGCGAAGGCGGCAUCCUGGACCAUAACUGACGCUGAGGCGCGAAAGCUAGGGGAGCAAACGGG
rnacentral:rRNA from 1 species